rnacentral:rRNA from 1 species
AAACUACGUGCCAGCAGCUGCGGUAAUACGUAGGCUUCAAGCGUUAUCCGGAAUUACUGGGUGUAAAGCGUCUGUAGGCGGCAGAGUAAGUUUGGCAUGAAAGACCGGGGCUUAACCCCGUGUUUGUGUCGAAAACUGCUCAGCUAGAAUCUGGGAGAGGGAAGCAGAAUGAUGUGAGUAGGGGUGCAAUCCGUUGAUACACAUCAGAAUACCAAAAGCGAAGGCAGCUUCCUGGAACAGUAUUGACGCUCAGAGACGAAAGCGUGGGGAGCGAAAAAGGAUUAGAUACCCUUGUAGUCCACGCCCUAAACGAUGAUGACUAGGUGUCGGCGUAAGCCGGUGCUAUAAGCUAACGCGUUAAGUCAUCCACCUGAGGAGUACGGCCGCAAAGGUUAAAAACUCAAAUGAAUAGACGGGACCCACACAAGCAGUGGAUCAUGUGGUUUAAUUCGACAAUAAACGA